rnacentral:tRNA from 1 species
GGCCUCGUAGCUCAGACGGAUAGAGCAGGGGACUCCUAAGCCCAAGGUCGGCAGUUCGACUCUGCCCGAGGCCA